GGGACCGUAGGGUAGUUUGGUAAUCCUUGUGGCUUUGGGAGCCAUAGACUCGAGUUCGAAUCUCGACGGUCCCA
rnacentral:tRNA from 1 species